rnacentral:rRNA from 1 species
GAUGAACGCUGGCGGCGUGCCUAAUACAUGCAAGUCGAGCGAACAGACGAGGAGCUUGCUCCUCUGACGUUAGCGGCGGACGGGUGAGUAACACGUGGAUAACCUACCUAUAAGACUGGGAUAACUUCGGGAAACCGGAGCUAAUACCGGAUAAUAUAUUGAACGGCAUGGUUCAAUAGUGAAAGACGGUUUUGCUGUCACUUUUAGAUGGAUCCGCGCCGCAUUAGCUAGUUGGUAAGGUAACGGCUUACCAAGGCAACGAUGCGUAGCCGACCUGAGAGGGUGAUCAGCCACACUGGAACUGAGACACGGUCCAGACUCCUACGGGAGGCAGCAGUAGGGAAUCUUCCGCAAUGGGCGAAAGCCUGACGGAGCAACGCCGCGUGAGUGAUGAAGGUCUUCGGAUCGUAAAACUCUGUUAUUAGGGAAGAACAAAUGUGUAAGUAACUAUGCACGUCUUGACGGUACCUAAUCAGAAAGCCACGGCUAACUACGUG